rnacentral:misc_RNA from 1 species
GAUGAAGAACGUAGCGAAAUGCGAUACGUAAUGUGAAUUGCAGAAUUCAGUGAAUCAUCGAAUCUUUGAACGCAUAUUGCGCUCUCUGGUAUUCCGGAGAGCAUGCUUGUUUGAGUAUCAGUAAACACCUCAACUUCCAUAUCUUUUUUGAAAUGGGAGUUGGACUUGAGUGAUCCCAACGCUUUUCCUCACCGAAAAGUGGCGGGUUACUUGAAAUGCAGGUGCAGCUGGACUUUUCUCUGAGCUAUAAGCAUAUCUAUUUAGUCUGCCUAAAAAACAGAUUAUUACCUUUGCUGCAGCUGACAUAAAGGAGAUUAGUUCUUGUGCUGACUGAUGCAGGAUUCACAAAGACAGGCUUCGGCCGACUUUGUAAACUCGAUCUCAAAUCAAGUAAGACUACCCGCUGAACUUAAGCAUAUCAAUAAGCGGAGGA